rnacentral:rRNA from 1 species
UACAGAGGGGCAAGCGUUGUUCGGAAUUACUGGGCGUAAAGGCGCGUAGGCGGCCUGCUAAGUCGAACGUGAAAUCCCUGGGCUCAACCCAGGAACUGCGUCCGAUACUGGUUGGCUUGAAUCCGGAGAGGACGUGGAAUUCCAGGUGUAGCGGUGAAAUGCGUAGAUAUCUGGAGGAACACCGGUGGCGAAGGCGACGUCCUGGACCGGCAUUGACGCUGAGGAGCGAAAGCUAGGGAGCAAACGGG